rnacentral:rRNA from 1 species
GGCGUGCUUAACACAUGCAAGUCGAACGAUGCACUUUAUUUGAUUUCCUUCGGGACUGAUUAUUUUGUGACUGAGUGGCGGACGGGUGAGUAACGCGUGGGUAACCUGCCUUAUACAGGGGGGUAACAGUUGGAAACGGCUGCUAAUACCGCAUAAGCGCACGGCAUCGCAUGAUGCAGUGUGAAAAACUCCGGUGGUAUAAGAUGGACCCGCGUUGGAUUAGCUAGUUGGUGAGGUAACGGCCCACCAAGGCGACGAUCCAUAGCCGACCUGAGAGGGUGACCGGCCACAUUGGGACUGAGACACGGCCCAAACUCCUACGGGAGGCAGCAGUGGGGAAUAUUGCACAAUGGGGGAAACCCUGAUGCAGCGACGCCGCGUGGAGGAAGAAGGUCUUCGGAUUGUAAACUCCUGUUGUUGAGGAAGAUAAUGACGGUACUCAACAAGGAAGUGACGGCUAACUACGUGCCAGCAGCCGCGGUAAAACGUAGGUCACAAGCGUUGUCCGGAAUUACUGGGUGUAAAGGGAGCGCAGGCGGGAGAACAAGUUGGAAGUGAAAUCCAUGGGCUCAACCCAUGAACUGCUUUCAAAACUGUUUUUCUUGAGUAGUGCAGAGGUAGGCGGAAUUCCCGGUGUAGCGGUGGAAUGCGUAGAUAUCGGGAGGAACACCAGUGGCGAAGGCGGCCUACUGGGCACCAACUGACGCUGAGGCUCGAAAGUGUGGGUAGCAAACAGGAUUAGAUACCCUGGUAGUCCACACCGUAAACGAUGAUUACUAGGUGUUGGAGGAUUGACCCCUUCAGUGCCGCAGUUAACACAAUAAGUAAUCCACCUGGGGAGUACGACCGCAAGGUUGAAACUCAAAGGAAUUGACGGGGGCCCGCACAAGCAGUGGAGUAUGUGGUUUAAUUCGACGCAACGCGAAGAACCUUACCAAGUCUUGACAUCCCUUGACGAUGCUGGAAACAGUAUUUCUCUUCGGAGCAAGGAGACAGGUGGUGCAUGGUUGUCGUCAGCUCGUGUCGUGAGAUGUUGGGUUAAGUCCCGCAACGAGCGCAACCCUUAUGGUCAGUUACUACGCAAGAGGACUCUGGCCAGACUGCCGUUGACAAAACGGAGGAAGGUGGGGAUGACGUCAAAUCAUCAUGCCCUUUAUGACUUGGGCUACACACGUACUACAAUGGCGUUAAACAAAGAGAAGCAAGACCGCGAGGUGGAGCAAAACUCAGAAACAACGUCCCAGUUCGGACUGCAGGCUGCAACUCGCCUGCACGAAGUCGGAAUUGCUAGUAAUCGUGGAGGAGCAUGCCACGGUGAAUACGUUCCCGGG